AUUUUGAACUUCGAGGAACUGUUAAUGUAUCUUUAAGCAAUGUUUCUUAAACAGGGAAUCAAGGAUAUGAAUGUGGAAAUCUAGUCAAUGUUACAACAUUAAGUAUCCUCUUCAGUGAGGAGGCGAACACAUGAGUAACUGUAGUUAAAGGCCUCUUCCUUCUGAAGAAUCUUGCUUUUCUUCUUCUCUAUUAUGUCCAGUCUGGAGGCCUUUAAUUCUUUUCCUUGCCUGACUACACUGCUAGAAUCUGCAGCACAAUUGGAUAGAAGUGGUUCCGCCAGACAGCAUUUAUUACACCGGGAAAGCAACACUAGGCACUAGAUCUUGCAAAAUAUGCUCUGACCAACUCUAUAAACUCUCUGAAAUUAAAAAUGCGUAACCACUGGAAAGUUUUUAAUGAACAAAAAAGGUAAAUACAAACUUUCAUAUGCAAAAUAGAUCAUUGUACAACUGGCAGCCUCAGAGCCAAGUACUAAAUUUUCUUCCAAAUUUCAGUGGGGAUGGA